rnacentral:snRNA from 1 species
UUGCUCGCUUCAGCAGCACAUAUACUAAAAUUGGAAUGAUACAGAGAUUAGCAUGGCCCCUGCACAAGGAUGACAUGCAAAUUCAUGAAGCGUUCCAUAUCUUU